GGUGGGUUAGAUUGAGGGAUGCUAUUGAAAGUUCCAGAUUUACACGAGAUACAACACACACACACAGACAAACUUUGGUAGACUCACGAGGUUGACAACAUCAACAUACACUGUCACCUGUCAGACAUUUUUUUUUGGUCUUCAAAGAAUUCUCUUGUUAUGACUGACUAGUGAACACAUAGGGAAGAGGGGAGAGGAGGGAGUAAUUCAAUGAUAACACAAAACUUGUGUUGACGAGUCACUUGACUGGGUCACGUCUGCUAACAAAGGUCACGUGAUAAUAGUUGUCUCACAAAAACAAAACCUUGAUCUACAAUAACAGAUAUCAAUAAUGUAAUCCUAACUUUUUGAUUGACCUAGUUUUACCGGUGAAAGUUGAAACAUGUAAACGGCUUCAUUAGUACUCAAUAACAAUAGCUCCGUUCAUCUUUAACUCUAGUACUUGCUAGGUAGAUCUAUAGAUCUUUUAUACAGAGCACAUUUCUCUACGAAAAGCGAUACAGUUUAUAAUUAAAGAAGACCCUUACCACGGAAACAAGACAUUAGCAGAAUGUUUGGUGCCUCGUAAGAGAGUUUUGACUUGGCUGAAGUUGUAGAACUAUGUUUAUAUGUUUACAUGUUGAAAGUACAAUUUCACCCAUAAAAGAUGGCUGGUAAAGUGUCAUGCUAUUAAAGGAAAUGUCAUGGGCUCAAUUCUUAUAUUGGCCAUAGUUUCUUUCAAGUACAAUGAAAUAGAACUGUAGAGUUCA
rnacentral:sRNA from 1 species